ACAGGGAUUGCCUCAGUAACGGCGAGUGAAGCGGCAACAGCUCAAAUUUGAAAUCUGGCUCUUUCAGGGUCCGAGUUGUAAUUUGUAGAGGAUGUUUCGGGUGUGGCUCCGGUCUAAGUUCCUUGGAACAGGACGUCAUAGAGGGUGAGAAUCCCGUAUGUGACUGGUAGCCUAUGCUCAUGUGAAACUCCUUCGACGAGUCGAGUUGUUUGGGAAUGCAGCUCAAAAUGGGUGGUAAAUUUCAUCUAAAGCUAAAUAUUGGCCAGAGACCGAUAGCGCACAAGUAGAGUGAUCGAAAGAUGAAAAGCACUUUGGAAAGAGAGUUAAACAGUACGUGAAAUUGUUGAAAGGGAAGCGCUUGCAACCAGACUUGCAUGUAGCUGAUCAUCCGGUGUUCUCACCGGUGCACUCAGUUGCGUUCAGGCCAGCAUCGGUUUCGACGGUUGGAUAAAGGCCUUGGGAAUGUAGCUUCUUUCGGGGAGUGUUAUAGCCCAGGGUGCAAUGCAGCCUGUUGGGACCGAGGACCGCGCUUCGGCUAGGAUGCUGGCGUAAUGGUUGUAAGCGACCCGUCUUGAAACACGGACCAAGGAGUCUAACAUCUAUGCGAGUGUUUGGGUGUCAAACCCAUACGCGUAAUGAAAGUGAACGGAGGUGAGAACCCUUAAGGGUGCAUCAUCGACCGAUCCUGAUGUCUUCGGAUGGAUUUGAGUAAGAGCAUAGCUGUUGGGACCCGAAAGAUGGUGAACUAUGCCUGAAUAGGGUGAAGCCAGAGGAAACUCUGGUGGAGGCUCGCAGCGGUUCUGACGUGCAAAUCGAUCGUCAAAUUUGGGUAUAGGGGCGAAAGACUAAUCGAACCAUCUAGUAGCU
rnacentral:rRNA from 1 species